AAAAGCUUAAGGGAGAGGGAAGAGUGAGACAACACAGUGAGCUUAUUUUUCAGUAAUAAUAAGAAAAAGGGGAGCUAAACUGAAUGCUAACAACCCUCAUGCAGGGUAUAUCGCUAUGGCAACCAGUACAAGAAAAAUCUUAACCCUGUGUCUACACCAGACAGAAGCCGCGCAAUGCGACAUUAUAAUCAGUGAUGUUGACUUCACUGGAUGUGGCGCGACGCGACAAAUUCCUGAUGGUAAAAUGAUUCCCCAUUCUAUUCUGACGUACUUCAAGUGCUCUCGCUUCUUCUGAUAUGAAGAACAAAUGGAUUUGCAAUGGUCGCUUUGUCACAUCCAGUGGGGCACAACAACGGUAUAGUCCGGUGUAGGCAUGGGCUGUGUCCGAAAUCGCCCCCUAUACCUUAAAUAGGCCACUAUUUGAAGAAACAGCCAUUUGUAGUGGUGGAUGUUAUUGAGUGCUCUCAUUCAAUCCCAUAAUUCACCGCAAUAACGAGUCUACACUCAACGGCUAGAGAAUAACCAUAAUGCACUGUGAGGGUCAGGCCAGAUGAAUUCCCGCGUCUCACCAGAAGAUGGCGCUCAUUGUUAUGUGGCUACAUAAUAUCAUACAGGUAUAAAUUACUUUUUAAUUGAUUUAUCAAUUUUUUUAAAUUAAGGUUUAUACAUACUAGUUUCCAUGAUAGAGUUCAAGAUGAACCUUCUGGUACUUUCAAAUGAUUAUUAAAUGGCAAGUGCAAACUAUGCAAAAGCGACAGGCCUUAGUUACGACGCACUCAGUGUCGUUUUCAUUCACUCCUUCAAGUGUAGUAUAUAUUAGUGGAGAAAUGCAGGGAAUAGUGAAUGAGGGUACAGGGGGUGAUUUCGAACACAGCUAUGGUGUAAGAAUGAGAGCAGGAAGAAAGAGAGCUGAGCGCCAUCAAGACACACCAUGACUACACACACACACACACUGACACAUUAAACAUUAAUUCAAUCAUUUAACAGCUUUGAAACACCUGUAGUGUUAGACUUGUUUCACACAGCAUGCAUGAAAAGCUUGCUGUGCUUUUAUAUUGAGUGACACUACAAACUACGGCUCAAUACUGAAAAAAUAUAUUCUUCUCACGGGAUUUUAUCAUAAAAAAUGCUUUUGUGUGCAUGGAAUCAAGCCUGACAUUCUUCUUUUUUCAAAAAAUGGGUGAUUAAUUCCCUCCAUUAUUUUAUGCUGCUAUAUUGCAAAAUAUAAUUUUGAUAAAUAGCUUUAUAUUGCAUUUUCAAUAUAUUUUCUGCCCACUAAACAGCAAAAAUAGGCUCAGCGUCGUAACCUUUUAAUAUGGGCACCGGUAACAGUAUGCGCCACUGCUUACGCAUGCGUUGUGAAACAAGCCUAAAAUAACCUACAUUACUGUACAGCUUUUACUAAGCACUGAUUUUUAAUAAUAAACAUUUCAACCAUUAGUUUCUAUUGUUAAUGCACAGGAUCUAACACUGGAGAUCUUUGCAAACCAUCAAAACGUUCAUUCAUUCAUUCAUUCAUUCACUGCUUGAUUAGCAGUCUUUCAGUUUUCUGUGGUGCAGCAAUGCAUUGUGGGAUUGCAGCUGGUGUAUGAGCAUCAGAACUCACCAGUAGCACAGGAGGAAGCAAGCAAUGACCCAAGAGCCAGAUGGAUGGGAAGAGAUAUGGAAAAUGAAGAAAAAAAUAAUAAAAAGAGGGAAUAUAAAACAGUGGAAGAAGUAAUAGAAGAAGAACAUACGAAAGAGAACAUGAUCAGGAAGAGGAAAGUGUCGUCAAGCAGAAGAUACAUCAGAUGAGCACAAAAGAGAGUGAGUGAGUGAGUGAAUAAGAGAAAAGAGAGAGCAGAAUUAAGCAGCAAGGCAUUGGGAAGAAGGCUUUCUCAGUCCAUGUAGAGCUGAGAUGAACAUAAACGCCACGCAUGAGAGAAACAGAUGGAAACACGGAUCUCAUGUCAACAUGUCAGUAUCACCACGACACAACUGAGAUGUAACGUGUCUAGACGUGUAAUAUACAUCAGGCACACACACAUCACUAAACUGACAACAAGACACAUAAAAACACCUCUGCUAUUUUAAAAUGACACAUACACCCAGAAGAAAAAUGUUGAUAUAUAUAAACAAAUAAAUCAUAGCUUAAUUUGGGUUCUCAGUUUUGAUUCAUUGGAAAAAAAUUGGAUUACAUAAAUAAAUUGCAAAUCUGAGCACUUCUGAAACUCGUGAGACAAUGAAAUGGGCGUGACUCUUAAAAGUGGACGAAUGUGAGUUUUCAAGAGUGGGGUUUAAGCGGACUAAAUGAUUGGAGAAGACCUGCAUACAACACCAGAGAGAAGUCUUCACCAGGUAUGACAUUUUGAUUAACCUUUAAAAUUAAACAUCCUGUAUGCAUGGACAAAUUGUUUUUACAAUAACAUGUAUUUCAGAAAAUAGGAUUUUAAUUUUAAUGCUGACUAUUGGUGCAUGAUUUGCUCACCAUCUCAUUGCUAUCGUUGAGAAACUACUGAGAUCUGAUUUGGGAUUUGUCUUUCCUAAGGGUGUGAAAACAUGCUGCAGUUUCCAUGCUAUGGACUAUGAAGAUUGUAAACGUGAAUGUUUUGAACACCAGACAAAACGACAUGAAGAAAGAACAAAGAAAUCAGGGCUGCGGGUUACGUACCCGACAUCAGAUCUCCACCUGUGGAUGCUGCGGCUGGUUUGGCCUCACCAGCACCCGCCGAUUCUGAUCCAUCCACGCAGCAUGAGGGUAAAAAAGUGAGCAGAGAACCGAACUUCAACGUUCAAAGACUAUUGCCCUAGCAACACAGAUCUCCACGGCAACACCGAUGCCAGUUCAGAAAACUCAACAUUGACCAGAAGAAGUUUCAUUAGGGAAGAGCCUGCAGAAGAGGCUCAAUGUGGGUUUUAAAAGUGAAUGUGGCACAGCCUUUACAUCUUCUUAAGGAAGAAACCUCACUACUGACCUCCGAGGAGAUCGGCUGAGCUGGAGGAAGCAGCGGAA